CACUGGGGAUGCCUUCCUUAUCCUGGAUCUUGGCCUUCACAUUUUCGAUGGUGUCACUGGGCUCCACCUCAAGGGUGAUGGUCUUGCCGGUAAGGGUUUUCACGAAGAUCUGUCGUUACGGCUGCGGGCCAGUACCUGUUAGCGGAUACCAGGAUCCUGCCAAUCACCAACCACGUCCACCCACAGGGACACAAACAAGCUCACCCAACAAAGCCAACCGCCCCUAAAUGCUCCGGGCUGGCGGAGCGCAAAUUUAUGCAACGAGUGUUGCGUCACUUAUCACCCCUCACGUAGACGCCGUCUCCGUGCGCCGCUGAAAGUAGUUCGCCGCGCCCAACCUCCCGAGAGGCAGUUUAGGCUUUUCAACUGAGCCCCAAAUUCCUCAUAGCCGUAAGAAAGGCUCCUAAAAAAUUAUUUCCCUUCUCCUCUAUGCGCUUCUCUUCCUUCUUUAGGAAAAUAUAAGAAAAUUAUCAGGCGGAUGAAUUUGAGUUGAAGAAACCUUCCUCGAAAGCUCUGGAAACUUCCUUGCAGCGCCGGCACUGAUUGGUUAGGCCUGCGAAGGCGAGGUCGGCGCUGAUUGGUGGGGGACGCGGUGGCUCUGUUGUUGCUGGGCUCCACCUGGGGUGGCUUAGCGCCGAGGUUGCUAAGUAACUGAGCGCGCGUGCGCCGCACAGGCGCGCCGUCCUGAAAGAGGGUAUUUCCGGCGGGAGAAGGAGGGGGGGUCUUUCCUUUUUUUUCUUGAGACGGAGUUUCGCUCUUGUUUCCCAGGCUGGAGUGCAAUGGCGCGAUCUCGGCUCAUCGCAACCUCCGCCUCCCGGGUUCAAGCGAUUCUCCUGCCUCAGCCUCCCAAGUAGCUGGGAUUACAGGCAUGCGCCACCACGUCCGGCUAAUUUUUUGUAUUUUUAGUAGAGACGGGGGUUUCACCAUGUUUGUCAGGCUGGUCUCGAACUCCUGACCUCAGGUAAUCCACCCGCCUCGGCCUGCCAAAGUGGGCCGCCGCGCCUCAGAAGCGGGACGGCGUGGCACCCGAUAUCGAGACACCUGAUGGUGAUUGUGAAGCACAAUUCCCUCUCCCAUGUUUUAAAAACGCGCGCCCCUGGCCGGGCGCGGAGGCUCACGCCUGUAAUCCCAGCACUUUGGGAGGCCGAGGCGGGUGGAUCAUGAGGUCAGGGGUUCAAGACCAGCCUGGCCAAGGUGGUGAAACCCCGUCUCUACUAAAAAUACAAAAAAAUUAGCCGGGCGUGGUGGCGGGCGCCUGUAAUCCCAGCUACUUGGGAGGCUGAGGCAGAUAAUUGCUUGAACCUAGGAGGCAGAGAUUGCAGUGGGCCGAGAAUGUGCCACUGCAUUCCAGUCUGGCGACAGAGUGAGACUCUGUCUCAACAAACAGACAAACAAAAAACACGAGCCCCUCAUACACUGGCCAGUUGUUUUUGCUUUUUUGUGACAAAGUCUGGCUGUGUCCCCAGGCUGGUGUGCAGUGGUGUGAUCACCGUUCACUGCAGCCUUGACCUCCAGGGCUCAAGUUAUCCUGCCACCUCAGCCUCCCAAGUGGCUGGGACCGUGGACCACGCCUGGCUUUUUAAUUUUGUAUUUAUUUUUUGAGACGGAGUCUCACUCUGUCACCCAGGCUGAAGGCCAGUGGCGUGAUGUGGCUCACUGCAACCUCCACCUCCCUGGUUCAAGCGAUUCUCCUGCCUCAGCUUCCUGAGUAGCUGGGAUUACAGGUGCGUGUCACCAUGCCUGGCUAAUUUUUGUAUUUUUUAGUACAGAUGGGGUUUCACCACGUUGGUCAGGCUGGUCUCGAACUCCUGACCUCAGGUGAUCUGCCUGCCUCGGCCUCCCAAAGUGCUGGGAUUACAGAUGUGAGCCACUGUUCCUGGUCUAAUUUUUUUUUGUUGUUAGAUCAGAGUCUUGCUAUGUUACCCAGGCUGUUACUGAACUCUUGGGCUCAGGAGAUCCGCCUGCCUCGGGCUCCCAAAGUGCUAGGAUUACAGGCAUGAACCACCGUGCCUGGCGGACUAGCCGCUUUUUAUUUUUCUUCGUGGUUAUUGCAGGGUUGUGGAGCUUUAAAUCAUGCUUCUGUAGUCAGAGUGCUCUUAGUUGCAUUGUCUUAAUCCUCAUCACGGCCCGAGAACAGUCUGUAAAUCGGGAGUUCAGAGUGGGACCCUCUGCGGGGACCGGAAACCUGUUGCUGAAGCCGCUCACCACCAGGCCCAGAGAGGCGAGGCUGGAGCCCAUGGUGACAGUGGCCGGGCUUCGCUCUGGCUCCAGCAAUACCUGCAAAUCCAGUUCUUCCCAGCUGUUUCUCCAAACUGGUAGGAAAAAAAAAAGUGCAGAUUAGGGAGCCGAAACCCCACUUCAAAAACGGGAAUUCACCUACAAGAAAGUAGCUGAUCCUGCUCCCAUUGACGUGCUUGUUGUGCAAGGGUGAGGUUAACCAGCUAGGACCAAGCAACGGGUUUCCCUACACCCUGGGUGUGGCCACUCGUCCUGCAAGGAGAUAACCCAAGGAAGGUGAGUAAGGCAGAUGUGUUUGGAUCCUGGUGCCUGGCACAGUCACGGGGGUGGGGUGGAAGUAAACAUGAAAUUGGCUGUUUUUCACGUGAUACCAACCUUCAUAAUGUAAGAAGUAGUCUAGAAAUGUGUGUAUUAAUACAAUUAAGUAAACAUCUCUUAGAAAGGUCGCUAAUUACUAAAUUUCAACAUACCUGAGCAUAACGUUGAGAAGCUAUGUCGACAAAUGAGCUGGUAUAUGAGUUAACACCUAGACAGCUUUCAGUUAAAUUAACUAAAACCGGGAUCUACUGUCUACUGAUGUGAAUAAGCAGGAGAUAGAAAUAAACAGUUUAAGAUAAUUUUGGAAGUGAUUUUGAACGACUUGGGAGGUAGUUUAUAAAACGUUUAUUUUAUUAUAUAAAGUAUGGAUUUUCGUUUUUGUUAGCCUAACAGUGAUUCUGAAUUUGUUUCACCAACCAGCAGCUCCUCCUGAAUCAUACAUGUUGAUCGCAGAUUGAGCUAGAAGGCAGAUCUCAUGACUGGUAUAAUGACUUCACUGGGAAGUUCUAGCAGUUGCCAGAACUGUAAGUUAGUUAUACAGGCUCCUGGUUCAAUGUUUUCCCGAAGUAGGUCAUUUGGUAACCUAAGAUUAGGAAUUUGGUAAUCUGGCACAAUACUUGGCACUGUGCUCAAUAAAUGUUUGUUCAGUGACUAAAAUGCAAUCUUCUCUUUUGUUCAACUGGAGAAAAGAAACUUUGUGACAGCCUUAAAACACAAAGCAAAAACACAGUAGAGUACUGUAUUUCAUCUCCAUAGGCAAAUGCUAUUUGCCUUGGCAGUUCCUUCAAAAGAAACAAAGGGGGAUUGAUUCUGAGAUUCUAAGUGAUUUUACUUGGCUAGAUGCCUUUUAAUAAAAAUCUGUGAGAAAACUAUAGUUCCAAUUAAAAGUUCACAGUUGUUUUCUUGACAUUAUUUGGUGAUAUUUAAAGUGUGGAAUUAGUCUCUGAUUUGUCAAUUCCUUUAUAUUUCACAUUUGGCUAUUUAUUUCAAUACAAUUACAUAAUGAACUCCUAAUUUAUUACAAGCAAG
rnacentral:lncRNA from 1 species